CCGUUUUGUCCAUUUUAGUGUUAUGUUUACAAAUUGCAUGGGAAGAAUCAUUAAUCAUCGUUUGUUGGAAUUUAUUGAGCAGACAUAUUAUGGAGCAUUGCCAAAUUGUCUAAGCAUUUAAAGAGUUUCGAUUAGACACAUGAAAAAAGAAAAAUCUCAAAGUGCGUACACUUAAAAAGGCCUACUUGACUGGGAGACUUAGCUAAACAACUGCCGGGGUAAAUAAUCAGGAAAUCCUUAUUAAAGGUAACUAUACAAACUGACCCAGUCCCAUUCAGAAACAUUGCUCUAUGAUAAUGGUCAUGAAGACACUUCUUUUUUGAGUGCGCAAUUGAAUUCAUCCCAAAUAUACGAAGCACGGCAAAUAUAAUACUUCGACUAUGGCAAUCCGGUAAUGGAAACUUUGAGCCUUCGGAAUGAUAUGACAUCUGAUGAGUCGGCUUUACGAGUUUUCUAAACGCUGACUAGGUUAUGUCGUGUAAAUGGAUGAAAACACUCCAGCUCUGAGAGUAUUCGACGCAGUACCCGAGGUGGGAAGCUGAGGAAGACAAGGUGGAGAAGGAUCAGCGCGAAAGGAAGAACGCGAAGUUUAAUAGAGACUUUAAGCAGAGUAGUUGCACCAGCGUCUCUGUCAUUCUUCCUUGCCUGUGUCUUCACAUGUCCAUACGGCUCGCAUGACGUCAGAACUUUAGAUCUUCAAGUGCGACACGACCGAUCAUCCACACACUAAUGUUUUCCCAAAGGCAUUUCUCUCACUUGUUCCACGGAUUCUUUAUAUUACCAGCGGACCCUGAUUUAUAAGUGACAAAGGACUAUCACGUUUUACAUUCCUAGAACAGUAACAAUUUUUUAAAAUAGAAUUUUAUAUAUAUUAUCACAACUUGCACUCUAAUUGGAUCACCCUUAUAAGCCUUGGACUCUAAAUCAAUAUAACUAAUUUGCUGAAAUUUUAUAAUUUCUCUCGGAUUUUUGAUGAAUUUGCUGUGAGCUGCAUCAAUUUGAAAAGCUAUAAAUAAUAAAUUCUUAUAAAUUCAAUUUUGAAACGUU